rnacentral:rRNA from 1 species
UACAGAGGGUGCGAGCGUUUGUCCGGAAUCACUGGGCGUAAAGGGCGCGUAGGUGGCGACCCAAGUCGAUGGUGAAAGCUCGCCGCUCAACGGCGAGUCGGCCACCGAUACUGGGUUGCUCGAGCACUGUAGAGGCUCAUGGAAUUCCGGGGUGUAGCGGUGGAAUGCGUAGAGAUCCGGAAGAACACCGGUGGCGAAGGCGGUGAGCUGGGCAGUUGCCGGACACUGAGGCGCGACAGCGUGGGGGAGCAAACAGGG